UGCCCGUACCCUAAUUAUCUUCUGGCUUCUCCUAACUCGAGUCUUUCUUCUCCAGUCAGUUGUACCCACACCACCAGGUUGACUGCCAGAAAAUGCAGCUCUAGCCAUGUGAGUCCCUUGCUCUUCGCGGGCUCCCUGCAGCCUUCUGAUACAGACAGAAGAUGGAGAUCUGAGAGGCUUACAGGAGAAAAAGUUAAGGAGCCUGUCAAGAAGAGGAUGGACAGACCAAAGAAAACAGCCCACGGCAGCAGACACCUGAGAUACAGCCAGAUCCAGAAACCCUCUGAGAAAGAGGCUCUCCUCUGCAGUGCCCAGCACACACAACCCAGAAUGGCCUGUCCCCGCUCAGGCCGCCUGGAAUUUUCUGAAACAAUCUGUGGGGUGGCCGCAGAGCUGUGGAAGGGGCCUGAGACCUGAGGCGGAACCCAGACCCUGGAGGCAUGCUUGGUCUCAGACAAGACAUUUUGCCUCUCUGAGCUGAAACCUCAAACACGUAGAAUUGCUGUAAAAACGCACUUGUUGAAGAGAACAAUGUGCUGCCUAUCCCCCACGCUAGAGACAUUCGACACUGUUCCGGGACAUGUUUAAUUGUCACAAGUACCAUCUUUACCAGCCUCUAUGUGGCAUGACACUACAGAAAAAUCCUUUGGGUUGCUAACAAUCAGUCAAAAUUCAGGAUUUUGUUUUCAAAGUUUCAUAAUCUUUAUAAAGAAAAUGUGGAUAACCCCAAAGUACAGAGAGAAGUGGGGGACAGAACAGGGAAACCACGUCCUUGCCAUAUUCCUACAGUCAACGUUCUUUUUUUAAAAUCUAGUUAACGUGUCUUCAGGACCAUUUUUGGCCAUUUCCUUCCCAAGAGCCAAAACGGGGAGCAGGAGGGGGGCAAGAAUAGGUUGCUUAAAAAAGUAUAAAGUAUUUCAGUUUCUAAAGCCUAGUAAUUGGAA
ensembl:lncRNA